rnacentral:rRNA from 1 species
AUAUUGGACAAUGGGCGCAAGCCUGAUCCAGCCAUGCCGCGUGAGUGAUGAAGGCCCUAGGGUUGUAAAGCUCUUUCACCGGUGAAGAUAAUGACGGUAACCGGAGAAGAAGCCCCGGCUAACUUCGUGCCAGCAGCCGCGGUAAUACGAAGGGGGCUAGCGUUGUUCGGAAUUACUGGGCGUAAAGCGCACGUAGGCGGAUAUUUAAGUCAGUGGUGAAAUCCCGCAGCUCCACUGCGGAACUGCCUUUGAUACUGGGUAUCUGGAGUAUGGAAGAGGUAAGUGGAAUUCCGAGUGUAGAGGUGAAAUUCGUAGAUAUUCGGAGGAACACCAGUGGCGAAGGCGGCUUACUGGUCCAUUACUGACGCUGAGGUGCGAAAGCGUGGGGAGCAAACAGG